GAUCAUGGCUCAGGAUAAACGCUGGCGGNGCACAUAAGACAUGCAAGUCGAACGAACUUAACCAUAAGUUUACUUUUGGAGCGGUUAGUGGCGGACUGGUGAGUAACACGUAAGCAACCUGCCUAUCAGAGGGGAACAACAGUUAGAAAUGACUGCUAAUACCGCAUAUGCCAUGAAUAUCACAUGAUAUAAAUGGGAAAGGAGCAAUCCGCUGAUAGAUGGG
rnacentral:rRNA from 1 species